rnacentral:tRNA from 1 species
GCCGCUAUGGUGAAAUAGGUAGACACGCUGCUCUUAGGAAGCAGUGCCAGAGCGUCUCGGUUCGAAUCCGAGUAGCGG